rnacentral:lncRNA from 1 species
AUGAAUUUGAUAAAUCAAUUAUUCAAUAAACAUAUUUUUUUUAUCUCUAGUAUUCGUUGUACUUUGAACAUUUGACAUAUUUUUUAAUGUAAUAUUAGAGUUUAUUUUGCUUCAUAUGUUUAGGGAUUUCAAUAGUGUGGAGCGGGAGCACAAUUUUUAUAAGUCAUUGGAAAUUUCAAUAGGGAAUUUCGUUGAUAUAGAAAAUAAAAAUUUACCACAAUUUUUUUAUCAUAAAAAAGAGUAAACCAUUAAAUUGGUUAUUAUAACUCGUUCUAAAACAGGUGUCUGACUAUCAUAGACUGUUUAACGGUAGAUUGAAAAUAUGAUCGACUAUUUUAGUAGAAAGUAGAUGAAUACUGAAACUAUUUUGAAAUUUGAAAUUCUCAAUACAAUUCAUUCUUUUUUUUUAAGUGGGGAAACUUGUGGCACACACAAGGUGUUUCAAGAAUCAAACCACUAACUACAUGUUUAAGAGGCAAGCUUCCAAAGAGGCAAGCUUUUCUUGAAAUCUCAACAAAGUUUAUAGAACCUUUAGCAAUGUUUUUAACACAAUUUUUACAAAUUUAGCUUCUAUGUGCAUAUUUUAAUGCUUUAGUAACUUGCAGGCAUCGGUUGCGUCCCUUAAAAAAUAUUUGAAUGAAUUAGUGUUCACUAAAAUGCACAAGGUUGAGCGUCGAAAGAAAGCGAAAGAGGAGGAGUACUGAAGUACUUCUAAUUUUAAGUUGGUAUCAUGUGUGUUAUAAUUAAGGAUUUUCUGCAAGAGUUGGCUCUAUCUCUAUGGUGUAUGUAGAAAAACUAUAAUUUUGGGUGUUAGGUGUUAUGUAUUUUUGGUGUAUUCUGCUGUUGGAUUUUAGUUCUUGUGCAAGAAAGAUUAUGUUUUACUAAUCUUUAUGGUUCAAUUCAAGGUUAGUCCUCAUGUUUUGAUUUCUUUAAUACUAUCCCUUUUAAUAUAAAGCAUAGAGCAAUUUUUAUACGUGUCUAUCUAUGAGUUCUUUUUAUCGAAAUUUAUUAAAAUUUCCUACAUUAUUAUAUAUUUUUUAUCAUCUUAGAAUGAAUUAAUUCUCUUUUCAAUUUACAAAGUAAGUGGUUUUACAUAUAAACACAACUGAACUUAGUCAUUCUAUUCUUGAGGAUGGAUUCAAGGGAGGGCAAGCAUGGGUUGUAGCCCCCCUCCCUUGCCAAAGUUUCUAUUAGUCUAGGUUAGUCUUGUUAUUGACAUGAGACUGUUUGGAUCGAAAUAUAUAUAUAUUGUUAAGCAUAAACGUGCUUUAUUAACUAAUGAUAACAAUACCAGCACUUUUUAUAUAUAUAGGCCAACACACAAUACAAGUAACUAACUAUAACAUUGCAAACUAGGCCUGUCCUCACGCGCGCGCCCCGAGCUUGAUUUCUAGAUGCCUUGCAGACCAGGCAACGCUUAAUAGUGCUACACACACAACAAGCUAAGCACAAGCAAACAUACAAAUUGCACGACUCCUAACAUAUAUAGUUGUGGAAGCAAAUUUGGGGUUAAAAAGGGGUAGUUUUAAUUGAGAUUAGCCACCAAUUAACUGUGCUGGCAGUUAAUAUAUGGUAGCAACUCCUAUAUUUUCUUGUAGCGACAACACAACCGAAAAUAUAACAAAGCACUUCUAGCUCACCAAACAGACACCGG